rnacentral:rRNA from 1 species
CUUUUAGCAGGGAAGAAGCGAAAGUGACGGUACCUGCAGAAAAAGCACCGGCUAACUACGUGCCAGCAGCCGCGGUAAUACGUAGGGUGCAAGCGUUAUCCGGAAUUAUUGGGCGUAAAGAGCUCGUAGGCGGUCUGUCGCGUCUGCUGUGAAAUUCCGAGGCUCAACCUCGGGCUUGCAGUGGGUACGGGCAGACUAGAGUGCGGUAGGGGAGAUUGGAAUUCCUGGUGUAGCGGUGGAAUGCGCAGAUAUCAGGAGGAACACCGAUGGCGAAGGCAGAUCUCUGGGCCGUAACUGACGCUGAGGAGCGAAAGGGUGGGGAGCAAACAGGCUUAGAUACCCUGGUAGUCCACCCCGUAAACGUUGGGAACUAGUUGUGGGGUCCUUUCCACGGAUUCCGUGACGCAGCUAACGCAUUAAGUUCCCCGCCUGGGGAGUACGGCCGCAAGGCUAAAACUCAAAGGAAUUGACGGGGACCCGCACAAGCGGCGGAGCAUGCGGAUUAAUUCGAUGCAACGCGAAGAACCUUACCAAGGCUUGACAUACACGAGAACGGGCCAGAAAUGGUCAACUCUUUGGACACUCGUGAACAGGUGGUGCAUGGUUGUCGUCAGCUCGUGUCGUGAGAUGUUGGGUUAAGUCCCGCAACGAGCGCAACCCUCGUUCUAUGUUGCCAGCACGUAAUGGUGGGAACUCAUGGGAUACUGCCGGGGUCAACUCGGAGGAAGGUGGGGAUGACG